AUGAGUGUCUUCAAGCUACCUCUUGGGGUUUGUGAUGACCUUAACCGCAUGAUUCGCAAUUAUUUUUGGGGUGCGGAGAAGGGGAAGAGGAAAACACAUUGGUAUGCAUGGGAUAAGAUAACAAGACCUAAAUGCCAAGGUGGUCUGGGUUUCAAAGACUUAAAAUUAUUUAAUCAAGCGUUAUUAGCUCGCCAAGCUUGGCGGCUCCUUGCUUAUCCAGAUAGUCUAUGUGCACGACUACUUAAGACAAAAUACUAGCCAAACGGGAGAUUGGAGGACACCAUCUUCACGGGACAUCCUUCGUCUGUGUUGCAAGGUGUGUGCCAUGGUCUUGAACUAUUGAAAAAAGGAAUUGUAUGGAGGAUAGAAAAUGGUGAAAAAGUAAGGAUUUGGAGAGAUAGAUGGGUCACUCGUGAACCCACUGGUGGACUUAUAUCACAAAAAGGAUGAUGUAGAUACAAAUGGGUUUAUGAGCUUAUGGACCAUAAUGGUUGUUGGGACAUCGCAAAACUACACCAGUUUUUCCUCCCAGUUGACACUUGUGAGAUCCAGAAAAUUCACUCGUCACAUCAUCUUGGUGAGGAUUUCAUUGCUUGGGCACCAGAGAAAACAGGUUUAUUCACUAUCAAUAGUGCUUAUAGCUAGGUCCGGAUGAAUUAUACGAUGGGCAGGUUUCUUCCACAAGUUCUCGGCCUGAUGGACACCUCGAGGGCUGGAAGGCUCUAUGGUCAUGUCAGGGACCUCUAA
rnacentral:rRNA from 1 species